rnacentral:rRNA from 1 species
GGAUGAACGCUGGCGGCGUGCCUAAUACAUGCAAGUCGAGCGAACAGAUGAGGAGCUUGCUCCUCUGACGUUAGCGGCGGACGGGUGAGUAACACGUGGAUAACCUACCUAUAAGACUGGGAUAACUUCGGGAAACCGGAGCUAAUACCGGAUAAUAUAUUGAACCGCAUGGUUCAAUAGUGAAAGACGGUUUUGCUGUCACUUAUAGAUGGAUCCGCGCCGCAUUAGCUAGUUGGUAAGGUAACGGCUUACCAAGGCAACGAUGCGUAGCCGACCUGAGAGGGUGAUCGGCCACACUGGAACUGAGACACGGUCCAGACUCCUACGGGAGGCAGCAGUAGGGAAUCUUCCGCAAUGGGCGAAAGCCUGACGGAGCAACGCCGCGUGAGUGAUGAAGUUCUUCGGAUCGUAAAACUCUGUUAUUAGGGAAGAACAAAUGUGUAAGUAACUAUGCACGUCUUGACGGUACCUAAUCAGAAAGCCCCGGCUAACUACG